GGUUGGAUAUGGGAGAGCAGCUGGAGGAUCUGAUGUACCAGCACAAGGACCUCUGGGAGUUACAGAUGCUGGAACAGCGGCUGACCCAGGAGAUACAGGCCCUGGAGAGAAGCCUGGAGCACCUGCUGGCUGAGAGGCAGCAGCUCAGCGUGCGGCUGUUGGAGGUGGAGCGCUCGCCGGGGGAGUCGCUGGGCGCUUGCGCGGAGGACAGGUGAGGUUAGGGCCGCGUCCUGUGCGGCGUUCCUCAGGCCUCUGUGGCUUCCUCUGUGCCCCCCGCCGACCCGCGCUGUCUUCCCUCUGCGCCUCUCCACAGGCUGCAAGCGGAGCCCGU